rnacentral:rRNA from 1 species
AGUGAACGCUGGCGGUAGGCCUAACACAUGCAAGUCGAACGGCAGCACAGUAAGAGCUUGCUCUUACGGGUGGCGAGUGGCGGACGGGUGAGGAAUACAUCGGAACCUACUUUUUCGUGGGGGAUAACGUAGGGAAACUUACGCUAAUACCGCAUACGACCUACGGGUGAAAGCAGGGGAUCUUCGGACCUUGCGCGAUUGAAUGAGCCGAUGUCGGAUUAGCUAGUUGGCGGGGUAAAGGCGCACCAAGGCGACGAUCCGUAGCUGGUCUGAGAGGAUGAUCAGCCACACUGGAACUGAGACACGGUCCAGACUCCUACGGGAGGCAGCAGUGGGGAAUAUUGGACAAUGGGCGCAAGCCUGAUCCAGCCAUACCGCGUGGGUGAAGAAGGCCUUCGGGUUGUAAAGCCCUUUUGUUGGGAAAGAAAAGCAGCAGGUUAAUACCCCGCUGUUCUGACGGUACCCAAAGAAUAAGCACCGGCUAACUUCGUG